UGCUCGAACUUUUAAAUAUAAUAUACAAAUACCUUUCGUUAUACUACAGAGACACUAAUGCCCCUGCCAUCUAAAAAAGGGCACAUUUAUAUCCUUCACACUAACGGACGGACACGUGGCAUCAUCCUAUUCCUCUACCGAUUUUAACCCAAAAAUAAGAACCCACCCGAAUUAAUGAAAAAACCGCCCAAAUAUUCUAUACCCACCCAUUUACUAAUUUCUUAAUAAUAUACCCAAAUCAAAAUCCCCCCAAAUUCUCGAUGAAUCCAUAUGGCGCCGAUGCCGCUAUUAACAGCGGCGUAAUUAGUCCGCUUGGUCGAGUUUGUUAAAUUUGUAGAAAGGGAAAGGGGAUGAGUAAUUCAGAGAGCUUUCCGUUGGCUUCUGGUCAUUUCUCCAUUUUUUUCUUCCAAUUGUGUAAUGAGUUUCUUAGUAUGACAUCUUAUUUGAGCUCUAAAUCUUGUUGAAAUUUUAUUAUGUGUUGUAGUAUUGAGGUUUUAAUUUUGAUAUAUGGUGAUUGAUUGAUAAAGAGUUUUUUUUUUACAUGUUUAUGUGUAAAGAUUUUAUAUUUUCAGCUCAUUUAGUGUAAAUUUGAAAAUAAAAUUUGAUAGAUAGUGUAAUGGGUUCUCUAGCAAA